AACGAACGCUGGCGGCAUGCCUAACACAUGCAAGUCGAACGAGACCUUCGGGUCUAGUGGCGCACGGGUGCGUAACGCGUGGGAACCUGCCCUUAGGUUCGGAAUAACUCCCCGAAAGGGGUGCUAAUACCGGAUAAUGACUUCGGACCAAAGAUUUAUCGCCUUUGGAUGGGCCCGCGUUGGAUUAGCUAGUUGGUAGGGUAAAAGCCUACCAAGGCGACGAUCCAUAGCUGGUCUGAGAGGAUGAUCAGCCACACUGGGACUGAGACACGGCCCAGACUCCUACGGGAGGCAGCAGUGGGGAAUAUUGGACAAUGGGCGAAAGCCUGAUCCAGCAAUGCCGCGUGAGAGAUGAAGGCCUUAGGGUUGUAAAGCUCUUUUACCCGGGAUGAUAAUGACAGUACCGGGAGAAUAAGCUCCGGCUAACUCCGUG
rnacentral:rRNA from 1 species